CCUACGGGUGGCAGCAGUGAGGAAUAUUGGUCAAUGGGCGAAAGCCUGAACCAGCCAAGUCGCGUGAAGGAUGAAGGUCCUAUGGAUCGUAAACCUCUUUUAUAAGGGAAUAAAGUGCGGGACGUGUCCCGUUUUGUAUGUACCUUAUGAAUAAGGAUCGGCUAACUCCGUGCCAGCAGCCGCGGUAAUACGGAGGAUCCGAGCGUUAUCCGGAUUUAUUGGGUUUAAAGGGUGCGUAGGCGGGCUUUUAAGUCAGUGGUGAAAGUCUGUGGCUCAACCAUAAAAUUGCCGUUGAUACUGGGAGGCUUGAGUAUGUUUGAGGCAGGCGGAAUGCGUGGUGUAGCGGUGAAAUGCUUAGAUAUCACGCAGAACCCCGAUUGCGAAGGCAGCUUGCCAAGCCAUGACUGACGCUGAUGCACGAAAGCGUGGGGAUCAAACAGGAUUAGAUACCCGGGUAGUC
rnacentral:rRNA from 1 species